rnacentral:rRNA from 1 species
UACGGAGGGUGCAAGCGUUAUCCGGAUUCACUGGGUUUAAAGGGAGCGUAGGUGGCUUUGUAAAGUCAGUGGUGAAAUAUUGCGGCUCAACCGCAAAACUGCCAUUGAUACUGCUUAGCUUGAAUCACGUCGAGGUGGAUGGAAUGAAUACAUGUAGCGGUGAAAUGCUUAGAUAUGUAUUAGAACACCGAUUGCGAAGGCAGUUCACUAGGCGUGUAUGACACUGAGGCUCGAAAGCGUGGGGAUCAAACAGG